AAAUCGGUGUUUCUAAACACCACCCAACUUGCAAGAAAUGUAUUU
rfam:Aphanomyces astaci strain APO3 cont1.345, whole genome shotgun sequence.